rnacentral:rRNA from 1 species
CAGCCAUGCCGCGUGCAGGAAGACGGCCCUAUGGGUUGUAAACUGCUUUUNUCGGGGAAUAAACCUCAUUACGUGUAAUGAGUUGAAGGUACCCGAAGAAUAAGGAUCGGCUAACUCCGUGCCAGCAGCCGCGGUAAUACGGAGGAUCCAAGCGUUAUCCGGAUUUAUUGGGUUUAAAGGGUGCGUAGGCGGUUUAUUAAGUCAGUGGUGAAAGCCCGGAGCUCAACUUCGGAACUGCCAUUGAUACUGAUAGACUUGAGUACAGAUGAAGUGGGCGGAAUGUGACAAGUAGCGGUGAAAUGCUUAGAUAUGUCACAGAACACCGAUUGCGAAGGCAGCUCCACUAAAGUGUAACUGACGCUGAGGCACGAAAGCGUGGGGAUCAAACAGGAUUAGAUACCCUGGUAGUCCACGCCCUAAACGAUGAUUACUCGCUGUUAGCGAUAUACAGUUAGCGGCUAAGCGAAAGCGUUAAGUAAUCCACCUGGGGAGUACGGUCGCAAGAUUGAAACUCAAAGGAAUUGACGGGGG